rnacentral:RNase_P_RNA from 1 species
AGCGGGACGGUCGGUCGCUUGUCGACUUCGCGUGCGGCAAGAGGAAAGUCCGGGCAACGCAGAGCACCAUGGUCCCUAACGGAGACCUGUCAGCGAUGGCAGAGUAAUGUGACAGAAAAUAACCGCCGCCCUUGUGGCGGUAAGGGUGAAAAGGCGAGGUAAGAGCUCACCGGGGCCCACAGCGAUAUGGGCCGCCGCACAUCUGAUGGGUUGCAAGGUCAAGUAUACCGGCAUUCAAGGGCUGCUCGUCCAUUGCCGGGGGGUAGACUGCUGACUGCGGCAAAGCCGCGACUCAGCCCGGUGGUAACAGCGGGCGUAGAUAAAUGACCGACGGCGGAGUAUCUCCGCUACAUAACCCGGCUUACAGGCCCGCUCGA